rnacentral:sRNA from 1 species
GCUGGGCGCAGUGGCACAGGCCUGUAUUCCCAGCGGCUUGGGAGGCUGAGGCAGGAGGAUCGCCAGUUCAAAGCCAGCCUCAGCAACUUAGCGAGAUCCUGUCUCUA